CUCAAGGUAACGUUUGCAGAUUCAGACUCAGCAUCCUGACUCAAGGUGGCGUUAGAAGCGGACUCCUCAUCCUGGCUCAAGGUGGUGUUAGAAGCGGCCUCCUCAUCCUGGCUCAAGGUGGCGUUAGAAGCGGACUCCUCAUCCUGACUCAAGGUGGCGUUAGAAGCGGACUCCUCAUCCUGACUCAAGGUGGCGUUAG